GACGAACGCUGGCGGCGUGCUUAACACAUGCGAGUCGAACGGAAAGGCCCUGCUUUUGUGGGGUGCUCGAGUGGCGAACGGGUGAGUAACACGUGAGUAACCUGCCCUUGACUUUGGGAUAACUUCAGGAAACUGGGGCUAAUACCGGAUAGGAGCUCCUGCUGCAUGGUGGGGGUUGGAAAGUUUCGGCGGUUGGGGAUGGACUCGCGGCUUAUCAGCUUGUUGGUGGGGUAGUGGCUUACCAAGGCUUUGACGGGUAGCCGGCCUGAGAGGGUGACCGGCCACAUUGGGACUGAGAUACGGCCCAGACUCCUACGGGAGGCAGCAGUGGGGAGUAUUGCACAAUGGGCGGAAGCCUGAUGCAGCAACGCCGCGUGCGGGAUGACUGCCUUCGGGUUGUAAACCGCUUUCGCCUGUGACGAAGCGUGAGUGACGGUAAUGGGUAAAGAAGCACCGGCUAACUACGUG
rnacentral:rRNA from 1 species